rnacentral:rRNA from 1 species
CGGACGGGUGAGUAAUGUCUGGGAAACUGCCCGAUGGAGGGGGAUAACUACUGGAAACGGUAGCUAAUACCGCAUAACGUCGCAAGACCAAAGAGGGGACCUUCGGGCCUCUUGCCAUCAGAUGAACCCAUAUGGGAUUAGCUAGUAGGUGAGGUAACGGCUUACCUAGGCGACGAUCCCUAGCUGGUCUGAGAGGAUGAUCAGCCACACUGGGACUGAGACACGGCCCAG